rnacentral:rRNA from 1 species
GUAUUGAAGGUGAUGCCUGCCCGGUGACCUAGUGUUCAACGGCCGCGGUAUCCUAACCGUGCAAAGGUAGCGCAAUCAAUUGUCUCAUAAAUCGAGACUAGUAUGAAUGGCUAAACGAGGUCUUAACUGUCUCUUACAGGCAAUCGGUGAAAUUGAUCUCCCUGUGCAAAAGCAGGGAUAAUAACAUAAGACGAGAAGACCCUGUGGAACUUCAAAAUCAGCGGCCACCCUACAUCACAUCCACACCCACUGGGUACACGCACCUACAGGCCUCUGGCACGCAUUUUUCGGUUGGGGCGACCUUGGAGAAAAACAGAUCCUCCAAAGAUUAGACCACACAUCUAGACUAAGAGCAACCUCUCAACGUGCUAAUAGCAACCAGACCCAAUAUAAUUGAUCAAUGGACCAAGCUACCCCAGGGAUAACAGCGCAAUCUCCUCCGAGAGUCCGUAUCGACGGGGAGGUUUACGACCUCGAUGUUGGAUCAGGACAUCCUAGUGGUGCAGCAGCUACUAAGGGUUCGU